rnacentral:rRNA from 1 species
GAUGAUGGCUCAGGAUGAACGCUAGCUACAGGCUUAACACAUGCAAGUCGAGGGGCAGCAUGAACUUAGCUUGCUAAGUUUGAUGGCGACUGGCGCACGGGUGAGUAACACGUAUCCAACCUGCCGAUGACUCGGGGAUAGCCUUUCGAAAGAAAGAUUAAUACCCGAUGGCAUAAUUCUUCCGCAUGGUAGAACUAUUAAAGAAUUUCGGUCAUCGAUGGGGAUGCGUU